rnacentral:rRNA from 1 species
UAACCUGCCAAGAGAUCGGGAUAACACCUGGAAACAGAUGCUAAUACCGGAUAACAACAGAUGAUGCCUAUCAACUGUUUAAAAGAUGGUUCUGCUAUCACUCUUGGAUUGGACCUGCGGUGCAUUAGCUAGUUGGUAGGGUAACGGCCUACCAAGGCGAUGAUGCAUAGCCGAGUUGAGAGACUGAUCGGCCACAUUGGGACUGAGACACGGCCCAAACUCCUACGGGAGGCAGCAGGA